rnacentral:lncRNA from 1 species
CAUUCGAUCCACUGUCUCCGUUUCAAGUAGCAGAGACGUGCUGCUGAUUGCUGAACGGAUAAUCGUGAUGUUAUUCGGACUACUUGUAAACGAAUUUCCGAAAGUUCCGGUUGCGAUUUGUGUUUCCUCUGAUAAGCAUGUGAUCGCGAUCGGAUCGUAGUAAAACACGAUUUUAUUGUUUGGAUUUUUCGUUGAAAUAGUGAGGUUGAGCUUGGAUGUGAGCCGUGUGGUGUCGUCGGAGGCGGUGGUGAGGUUGAAUUGCGAGAUUUUAAGUGAAGUAACAGAGAAUGUCGGAGGCUGUGGAUGAUAGAGGAGGUAAAGUACGCAACCGGCGAUUCCGGCUAGGAGGAGGACGAGGAUUAUGACGAGAACUGACCAGAAGCAGCAUAAACAGAACUACCGCCGCAAACCACUACGGCGUUUCCGUUGAUAAUUGGGCAGGUUCGGCCGGUAAGGGUGUCGGUUCAGGUUGUUAAUUUGGGUUUUCGCCGGUGGAGGUGGUAGUUUUGGGUUCCUGACGGUGGUGCCGGUGCCAUUAGGCUUGGAUGUCGGGUGGACUCUAUCCGUCAUUUUUUACUGCAAUUCCGGUGAAGAAUAUGUCACAGGAAGAUGGAAAAGGAGUGGCGGAGGUGGUGCCGGAGUAACCAAGAAAGCAAGAGAUUGUUAUAGAAAAUUGGAAAAAGCUUCGACCUCAUAAAAAUGGAAAUGGGUUUGGAGUUUGGACCAUUCCCCCCUGUCUCUCUCGUUGCUUAUCACACCGUUGCCCUAAUAUACGAUUUGAGGUAAACAUUAUUUUCUCCAUUUCAUGAUUGGUUUCUUAAAACUUAAAACAGCAAUGAUAUAUUUUCUUUAAAUAACAAAUAAAUCGUGAAACCGAAAAAUCAAACUGAUUUUUUUUGGUCAAGUAAAUGGACAUUUUAUUAAUUUUGUAUAUGAUUAAAUGGUUAAGAAAAAAAGAAUUUCUUAUCUUUUUAGGUAAUGAUUUUGAGAUCAAACGGCUAGUCGAGAAAAUUCUAAUUUAGUAGUGUGUUAUAUAUGACUUAAUUAGCCGACCUAGUUGGCAAUAUUAGUCAAAUAGAAGAUGAUUUUAUAGGUUCAUCAAUUAAAAACUCUAAUAAUUUAAUGCUAAAAAAUUCCAAUAUAUUAUAAUUUAAUACAAUGUUUAAAAUAUAUAUCACUUUAACUGGUAAUAGCCAUUCUUACGACUCUAUCAGUAGGUUAAUCUUCUUCCUUAAUAAAUUAAGGUUCUUUUGCCACAUAUCAAUCUUUCAUUAGUUUUGACACUUGUCAUUUUGUAGUAUUUUUGAAAUAUAUAUUAUCCACUUGUCAAAUUUUGAUUUGUUUUAAUUUUUAAAAUUAAAAUUAUAUAUAUGUAAAGUAUUAAAUACGUUAAUUCCUUUCUUAUUUUAAAGUUGUACAUUAAAAAAUAUUUUUAGUUUACAUUUUAGUUUAAUAUUUCAUUUUUUUUUAAUCAACCCGUGUAAUACACGGGCCUCACACCUACUGACUUAAUAAAAUAACAAACUCUAUUUUUUAUACAUUUUAGUCAUUUAUUUAUUUUUUUUUAUAGUUUUUUAAUCCUUUUUAUACUUCUAUUUGUGUUUAUCAUGUUUAACGUAAUUAUUUAUAUUUUUUUUAAACGGCUACUUAUUUAGAUAAAUUAGUUUUAUAUCAAAAUAGAAAACUAUCAAUGUAAAAAAUAUUACUACAAAUUUCAUCUUUUGAUAAAAUAAAACCUAUAUCUGAAAAAAUAAAUAUGUAUAACGUGAUAAUUUUCACAAAGAUUCGUAAAUAGAAAUUUGUAGUAGCAUUUUAUAUUGGUUUUGUUUUAUCAAUACUUAUUUUGUCAAUUUUAAAUCUUAUUAUUACCCAAAUUGUAACCAAAAUAGACAAAUAGUUGUCCAUUUCAUGGCACAAAAGCACUUUAUAAUUUCCAUAUCAUUAUACUGAAUUUUGAGGGUUUUAUAUAUUUUUUUUUCUGAGAAGAAAAACAUAGAAGGGAGGUGUGUCGUGUAGGUGGGCACAUGGGUGUUUAUGCUUGGACCCAUUUGGUGUAGCAAAUGCAUAAAUUGCCAAGAUCGCCGUCUAUAAAGCUUAUCCAACGGUGCCUCCCUCCCACAAAUAAAGUGUUUAGAUUUAAAACUUUAAUAUUUUCUAUUUCUGAAUGGACCAAAUAAAUAUUAAUUCUAUUUUUGUAGACAUUUCAAUAAUAUUUAUUUCUAUUUUUGUAGACAUUUCAAUAAUAUUUAUUUCUAUUUUUUAGACAUUUCAAUAAUAUUUAUAGGUUAGAUACACAUAUGGUGAAUCGUUUUCCUAGAUUGUAUGCUUUGUCUAGGUAUAUCUUCGGUGAAUCGGUUUCAUAGAUUGUAUGUCUGUCUAACAAUUAACACGGUAUGGUUCGAAAUUUUAUGAUUAAUCAGUCGUGGAGCUUUAUAUGGAAUGGACCCAUUCUAGGUGGAGUGGUGGUGUUCAGUUUUCUCAGUUGUUGUCUGUCACAAGUUGUCCAAUUGACUUCGAGAGCAAAAACUUGAGGAUUGGAGUUAGAUUCUUCUGGUACGUUCUCAGUUUGAUUUGUCAGAUUUCAUAUUGAUGGCACACAUUUUUCGACUGGUAAUUUUACAACUAGUUAGAAUAGGUGAAUUAUGAUGGACCGCAUUCCAAAACGGAUGAAUUUAGAUAAACGUGGCGUGGAGGUGGAGUCAGUUAGACCUGACAAUUUCUGACACGAAGACACGAAUCUGUGAGAGACACGAUACGACACGACAUGAAUACAUGACACGGAUACAUCUUAAAAAUUGAGAUAAAAUUUAUUUUUCAUCGUGUAAUCGUAUCGUGUCAAAUUCGUGGCUGACACGUUUUCAUGACACGGAUACAUGAAUUGUCAGGUCUAGAGUCAGUAUUAUGUAUGGUGUGUAGUUCGUUUGAAGCAUACGACUUUGGACUCGGUUUGUAUAACAAUCGUUUGGGUUGUAUAAACUUACGAGAAUGCUUUGAUUUUUUGUCGAAACAUGUAUAUGAUAGAUUUUAUAUUUGAUAACAUUGUAGUUUUUCUUUUAUUUGGUUUUGUGCUACAAACAUUAAAACUAGGAAGAAUCUAUGAUUUGAUGGUUGUAAAACUC